rnacentral:rRNA from 1 species
ACAUCCAGCGAACUUGGCAGAGAUGCCUUGGUGCCUUCGGGAACGCUGAGACAGGUGCUGCAUGGCUGUCGUCAGCUCGUGUUGUGAAAUGUUGGGUUAAGUCCCGNAACGAGCGCAACCCUUAUCCUUUGUUGCCAGCGAUUCGGUCGGGAAACUCAAAGGAGACUGCCGGUGAUAAACCGGAGGAAGGUGGGGAUGACGUCAAGUCAUCAUGGCCCUUACGAGUAGGGCUACACACGUGCUACAAUGGCGCAUACAAAGAGAAGCGACCUCGCGAGAGCAAGCGGACCUCAUAAAGUGCGUCGUAGUCCGGAUCGGAGUCUGCAACUCGACUCCGUGAAGUCGGAAUCGCUAGUAAUCGUGGAUCAGAAUGCCACGGUGAAUACGUUCCCGGGCCUUGUACACACCGCCCGUCACACCAUGGGAGUGGGUUGCAAAAGAAGUAGGUAGCUUAACCUUCGGGAGGGCGCUUACCACUUUGUGAUUCAUGACUGGGGUGAAGUCGUAACAAGGUAGGCGUAGCGAG